rnacentral:rRNA from 1 species
UUUUAAUGAGAGUUUGAUCCUGGCUCAGGACGAACGCUGGCGGCGUGCCUAAUACAUGCAAGUAGAACGCUGAUGUUUUGUGUUUACCCUAGACUGAUGAGUUGCGAACGGGUGAGUAACGCGUAGGUAACCUGCCUCAUAGCGGGGGAUAACU